GAUGAAGAACGUAGCGAAAUGCGCUACUUGGUGUGAAUUGCAGAAUCCCGUGAACCAUCGAGUCUUUGAACGCAAGUUGCGCCCGAAGCCAUCAGGUUGAGGGCACGUCUGCCUGGGCGUCACAUAUCGUUGCCCAAUGCCUAUUGCAGUGCAAUAGGAAUUUCUAGGGCGAAUGAUGGCUUCCCGUGAGCGUUGUUGCCUCGCGGUUGGUUGAAAAUCGAGUCCUUGGUAGGGUGUGCCAUGGUAGAUGGUGGUCGAGUUAGAACGAUACCGAUCAUGUGCAUGCUCCCCAAAAUAUGGCCUCUAUGACCCACACGCGUCUUUUGACGCUCAUGACGAGACCUCAGGUCAGGCGGGGCUACCCGCUGAAUUUAAGCAUAUCAAUAAGCGGAGGA
rnacentral:misc_RNA from 1 species